UACUAUGAAGAGUUUGAUCCUGGCUCAGGAUGAACGCUAGCGGCAGGCUUAAUACAUGCAAGUCGAGGGGUAACAGGGGAGCUUGCUCCCGCUGACGACCGGCGCACGGGUGCGUAACGCGUAUGCAAUCUGCCUCAAACUGGAGAAUAGCCCCGAGAAAUCGGGAUUAAUGCUCCAUAGUAAUAUUUUAAGUCAUCUUUUAAUAUUUAAAGAUUUAUCGGUUUGAGAUGAGCAUGCGUGUCAUUAGCUUGUUGGUGAGGUAACGGCUCACCAAGGCAACGAUGACUAGGGGGUCUGAGAGGAUGAUCCCCCACACUGGUACUGAGACACGGACCAGACUCCUACGGGAGGCAGCAGUAAGGAAUAUUGGUCAAUGGACGCAAGUCUGAACCAGCCAUGCCGCGUGAAGGAUGACGGCUCUAGUAGUUGUAAACUUCUUUUAUACGGGAAUAAACCCUCGCUUGCGAGCGAGGCUGAAGGUACCGUAAGAAUAAGCACCGGCUAACUCCGUGCCAGCAGCCGCGGUAAUACGGAGGGUGCAAGCGUUAUCCGGAUUCACUGGGUUUAAAGGGUGUGCAGGCGGAUUGGUAAGUCAGUGGUGAAAUCCUAGCGCUCAACUGUAGAAGUGCCAUUGAUACUGUCAGUCUAGAGUAUGGUUGAAGUGGCUGGAAUGUGUCAUGUAGCGGUGAAAUGCAUAGAUAUGACACAGAACACCGACGGCGAAGGCAGGUCACUAAACCAAUACUGACGCUCAUACACGAAAGCGUGGGGAUCAAACAGGAUUAGAUACCCUGGUAGUCCACGCCGUAAACUAUGAUUACUCGUUGUUGGCAAUAAACAGUCAGUGACUUAGCGAAAGCAUUAAGUAAUCCACCUGGGGAGUACGUCCGCAAGGAUGAAACUCAAAGGAAUUGACGGGGGCCCGCACAAGCGGAGGAGCAUGUGGUUUAAUUCGAUGAUACGCGAGGAACCUUACC
rnacentral:rRNA from 1 species